rnacentral:rRNA from 1 species
UUUAAAUUUAGAGUUUGAUCCUGGCUCAGGACGAACGCUGGCGGCGUGCUUAACACAUGCAAGUCGAGCGAUGAAGCUUCCUUCGGGAAGUGGAUUAGCGGCGGACGGGUGAGUAACACGUGGGUAACCUGCCUCAAAGUGGGGGAUAGCCUUCCGAAAGGAAGAUUAAUACCGCAUAAUAUAAGAGAAUCGCAUGAUGAUUUUUAUCAAAGAUUUAUUGCUUUGAGAUGGACCCGCGGCGCAUUAGCUAGUUGGUAAGGUAACGGCUUACCAAGGCAACGAUGCGUAGCCGACCUGAGAGGGUGAUCGGCCACAUUGGAACUGAGACACGGUCCAGACUCCUACGGGAGGCAGCAGUGGGGAAUAUUGCGCAAUGGGGGAAACCCUGACGCAGCAACGCCGCGUGGGUGAUGAAGGUCUUCGGAUUGUAAAGCCCUGUUUUCUAGGACGAUAAUGACGGUACUAGAGGAGGAAGCCACGGCUAACUACGUGCCAGCAGCCGCGGUAAUACGUAGGUGGCGAGCGUUGUCCGGAUUUACUGGGCGUAAAGGGUGCGUAGGCGGAUGUUUAAGUGGGAUGUGAAAUCCCCGGGCUUAACCUGGGGGCUGCAUUCCAAACUGGAUAUCUAGAGUGCAGGAGAGGAAAGCGGAAUUCCUAGUGUAGCGGUGAAAUGCGUAGAGAUUAGGAAGAACACCAGUGGCGAAGGCGGCUUUCUGGACUGUAACUGACGCUGAGGCACGAAAGCGUGGGUAGCAAACAGGAUUAGAUACCCUGGUAGUCCACGCCGUAAACGAUGGAUACUAGGUGUAGGGGGUAUCAACUCCCCCUGUGCCGCAGUUAACACAAUAAGUAUCCCGCCUGGGGAGUACGGUCGCAAGAUUAAAACUCAAAGGAAUUGACGGGGGCCCGCACAAGCAGCGGAGCAUGUGGUUUAAUUCGAAGCAACGCGAAGAACCUUACCUGGACUUGACAUCCCUUGCAUAGCCUAGAGAUAGGUGAAGCCCUUCGGGCAAGGAGACAGGUGGUGCAUGGUUGUCGUCAGCUCGUGUCGUGAGAUGUUAGGUUAAGUCCUGCAACGAGCGCAACCCUUGUUAUUAGUUGCUACCAUUAAGUUGAGCACUCUAAUGAGACUGCCUGGGUAACCAGGAGGAAGGUGGGGAUGACGUCAAAUCAUCAUGCCCCUUAUGUCCAGGGCUACACACGUGCUACAAUGGUAGGUACAAUAUAAGACGCAAGACCGUGAGGUGGAGCAAAACUUAUAAAACCUAUCUCAGUUCGGAUUGUAGGCUGCAACUCGCCUACAUGAAGCUGGAGUUGCUAGUAAUCGCGAAUCAGAAUGUCGCGGUGAAUACGUUCCCGGGCCUUGUACACACCGCCCGUCACACCAUGAGAGCUGGUAACACCCGAAGUCCGUGAGGUAACCGUAAGGAACCAGCGGCCGAAGGUGGGAUUAGUGAUUGGGGUGAAGUCGUAACAAGGUAGCCGUAGGAGAACCUGCGGCUGGAUCACCUCCUUUCUA